GGACAGGUGUCCGAGCGGCUGAAGGAGCAGCAUUGGAAAUGCUGUAUAUGGCUUUGCUGUAUCGGGAGUUCGAAUCUCCCCCUGUCCG
rnacentral:tRNA from 1 species